rnacentral:rRNA from 1 species
GACGAACGCUGGCGGCGUGCUUAACACAUGCAAGUCGAACGGAAAGGCCCUGCUUUUGUGGGGUGCUCGAGUGGCGAACGGGUGAGUAACACGUGAGUAACCUGCCCUUGACUUUGGGAUAACUUCAGGAAACUGGGGCUAAUACCGGAUAGGAGCUCCUGCUGCAUGGUGGGGGUUGGAAAGUUUCGGCGGUUGGGGAUGGACUCGCGGCUUAUCAGCUUGUUGGUGGGGUAGUGGCUUACCAAGGCUUUGACGGGUAGCCGGCCUGAGAGGGUGACCGGCCACAUUGGGACUGAGAUACGGCCCAGACUCCUACGGGAGGCAGCAGUGGGGAAUAUUGCACAAUGGGCGGAAGCCUGAUGCGGCAACGCCGCGUGCGGGAUGACGGCCUUCGGGUUGUAAACCGCUUUCGCCUGUGAUGAAGCGUGAGUGACGGUAAUGGGUAAAGAAGCACCGGCUAACUACGUG